rfam:Picea glauca, whole genome shotgun sequence.
CGACCCCAGCUCAGGUGAGAACACCCGCUGAGUUUAAGCAUAUAAUUAAGCGGAGGAAAAGAAACUUACAAGGAUUCCCCUAGUAACGGCGAGCGAACCGGGAAGAGCCCAACAUGAAAAUCGGUUGGCAGUGUCACCUGAAUUGUAGUCUAUAGAAGCGUCCUUAGUGGCGGACUGGGCCUAAGUCCCCUGGAAGGGGGCGCCUAAGAGGGUGACAGCCCCGUCGGGCCAGGACCCUGUCGCACCACGAGGCGUUGUCGGCGAGUCGGGUUGUUUGGGAAUGCAACCCUAAUCAGGUGGUAAAUUCCGUCCAAGGCUAAAUACGGGCGAGAGACCGAUAGCGAACAAGUACCACGAGGGAAAGAUGAAAAGUACUUUGAAAAGAGAGUUAAAGAGUUCUUGAAAUUUUUGAGAGGGAAGCGGAUGGAGGCCCGCGAUGUGUCUCGGUCGGAUGUGGAACGGCUCAAGCUGGUUCACCACUGGACUCGAGGUGCGAACCAGCACAGGCCGUUGCAUUAGCACAAGCACGGGUGGAGUACUACCUGUUGGUUUGCCAUUGUGGCAGUCGAGGAACGAAGUGUGCGCCCUUGGGGCGGGCCACUGUGCACCUACACGCUCGUGGUAUUGGUUGGCGGGAUUUCCAUUCGACCCGUCUUGAAACACGGACCAAGGAGUCUAACAUGUGUGCGAGUCAAUGGGUUUGUAAACCUGUGAGGUGUAAGGAAUCUGACGGGCGAGAACCCCUCUCCAUGGGGUGCAUUGUCGACUGACCUUGAGCUUGUGCGAAGGGUUCGAGUGUGAGCACACCUGUUGGGACCCGAAAGAUGGUGAACUAUGCCUGAGCAGGGCGAAGCCAGAGGAAACUCUGGUGGAGGCCCAUAGCGAUACUGACGUGAAAAUCGUUUGUCUGACUUGGGUAUAGGGGCAAAAGACUAAUCGAACCAUCUAGUAGCUGGUUUCCUCCGAAGUUUCCCUCAGGAUAGCUGGAGCUCACGUGCAAGUUUUAUCGGGUAAAGCAAAUGAUUAGAGGCAUUGGGGGCGUAAUGCCCUCGACCUAUUCUCAAAAUUUAAAUAGGUAAGAUGGUGCGGCUGCUCCAUUGAUUCAUGCCACGGAAUCGAGAGCUCCAAGUGGGCCAUUUUUGGUAAGCAGAACUGGCAAUGCGGGAUGAACCGAAAGAUGAGUUACGGUGCCAAACUGUGUGCUAACCCAGAUCCCACAAAGGGUGUUGGUUGAUUAAGACAGCAGGGCGGUGGUCAUGGAAGUCGAAAUCCGCUAAGGAGUGUGUAACAACUCACCUGCCGAAUCAAC